UCUAAUAUGGCAGACUAGUGCAAUGAAUUUAAGCUUCAUUAAUAAAGUAAAUACUUUUUUUAGAA
rnacentral:tRNA from 1 species